CUUUCCCCACAAUGGUCCAGCAAAAUGCCCAUUAGGAAGGCAGGAAUGUAAUACUUUCCCCCAUUAUACAUUUCGUAACUUAAGAGCGUGUUGUAGGAAUUUACUGCCAUUCAUUUUAAGUGGGUGAUCCUCUGUCCUAGUAUUAUGAGGCUGAAGUAUUUAUGUCCCCUUUGCACUGUUUUAAUCUUUAUCAUGCCCCUUAAUUAUCUUCUCCUUCUUGAGAUUUUGAGGUAGGGAACAUUUCAAUCUUGCAGCUGUUCUGUUCACCAUACCUGCAAUCCCAAAGGCAGAAUAUUCCAGGAAAUGUGUGCUGAAAGGGUCAUCAGUCGUAGAUACAUUGUUAGGGGUGCACUUAUGCAUUAAGUACAAUUUAUUGUGCCUUUUCCUUUUUAUCAGUAGCACGAAUGAGGGUUGGGGGAUGUUCAGCUGCUGCGUAUUAAUAAACCUCUUUGUGACCUAAGCUAUUUCAAUGUGUUGAACAUGUCAUGGGGUUGCCACAGUAACUUCUCUGAGAUAUUCAAUGUCCAUAUCAAGACUGUAAUUCAGCUUCUUGGUCAUUUUUGAAGAAAUCUCCACCCAGUUCCAGAUCUCGUCCUCAUGGCCCAUCAGUGUAAAGCAAAGACUUCAGUGGCCAGAAAAUGCAGAAGGAAAAGGAAUCACAUCGUGUUGGUGUUCCUCUGGAUUAAGAAGGUGGCUGAAACAAAGGAACUAUGUCCUACAUCGCCUGGACUUUGUGUUUCUCUGCCCUCUGUGAGCAACCCCCCCCCCCAAUCUCCUCUUAUUCCACAAGGAGCAAAACCCAAUCUGUAGGUACUAUUCCAUGUUUCAGGCAUAGGGAGAGCGAACUCACUCAAAAAUCCUGACAUCUGCCAUUUGUCGACAAGCUGGUAGGAAAUCCUACAAGGGUUGCAAGAGAAGGAGACAAGCAAAGACAACAGAAAUAGAAAGUGAGGUAAGGGCUAGGCUGCAGACUGUCGAUAGUUAGGAUUAACAGCUGGGACAAAACCCUGACUUCUUCCAUGCAGGGGGACACAUCUGGAAAUCCUACACAUUUUGAUUUUGGAAGGGGAUAAAUCUGCCGCUUGGUUCAUCAGUGGGAUAUAUUUACCAGUGUAUGCUGUCACUUGAUGUUAUCAUAGAGGUGAGGAAGAUAUAUAUCCCCUUCAGGGAUUGGACGGGAUAGAAAUCCAACAAAUAAAUAAAUAUUUUAAUGACUUAUGAAGCCCACCCUUGGCAGUCACUUAUCGCAAAAGAAAUCAGGUCCAAUACCACAGUUAAUGGCAGGCUGAGGCAACCCAAAACAGAUAAACAUUUUUCACUGCACCUCUUCCAGAGCAACCACAGAAUCAAAGGGACUGUGAUCGCAGCACUAAUUAAGCUUGUUAUUUUAUAAUUACAUAGUAGUCAUACCAGUAAGAGGGAAUAAUUUCAAUUCUAAAUUUAUUAAUCCAAUUUGAACAAGGACAGAGGGCACUUGCAGUAGCAAAAUGUAAUCUAAUGCCCUCAGCUUUACUAUGUGGCAGGUGUUUAAAAAAAUUGGUAGGGCUGAGAGAAUUUGCCCCUGUAAUCAGGGACAAGUGGAAACUAACAUAUUUUCUUUCACUGUCCCAGAUUUGUCAAAGUUCAAGAAUAAUAUGCCACAAUUAUUCUGUUGUUUCAGGAGGAUUCAGUUGAUAUAAUGGCAAUCCCAUCUUUAUUGAAUAAUUGUGAUCUUAUGUUUUGUAAAGUGAUGGCAAUUUUUUAAAGAGCUGAUAGAGCUAAUGAAAUAGUAGCAUUGUAUUUAUGGGUACUGUACUAAUUGUAAUCUUUUUUCUCUUGUUUCUAUAUUUUAUGUAUUUUAUAUAGAUUUUAUCUGUUAGUUUUAGUAUGCCAAUAAAGACUUUGAAGUUUGAAGUGAGAUAAAUUACUGGUAUUUUAACUGUGCCAGGUAAUUGAACAGUGUGGCACAAUAGGAUAUAAUGGGGAAAUUUUUUAAGAAUGCGAGUGUGUGGGGACUGGGCAUACACAGCUUUUGCUAACUUUCAGUAAAAUGUGCUCAAAAGGGCAGA